UUCUUCAACUUGUACUGAUUCCAGCACCAGUAAAUACUAUGCAAUGCGAUGCAAAACAAGUCUGGGUUUUUGCUUUUUAUCCAGUCCUGUAGCAUGUUGGAUUUGAGCUUCUUGAUUGUGGGUUAGGUAUUUUGCUUGCUACAUUUGAAAAAUUAAACAUAAAGUUUGUUGGGUCAAAAUAGUUAGAAAAGUUAAUAGGAAAAAAAUAAUUGAUAAUGAAAAACUGCAAUUAAAUAGUUGGAAAGUCCAGUUACUGAAGCAGGAAACAUUUCCAUCUCACAAGCCCUCCGCUGCUCUUUAAUUAUGAUUUUUGACUACCAGUUUUUCCCAUUAACUCUUUUCAACUAUUUUGACUCAUAUUUAUCUUCAAUUUUAAUUUUUCAAAUACAGCAAACGAAAUACAAAGAAAACCCACAAGAUCAAAUCUCAAGUCACUAUAAGACUGUAUCCAAAGCAAACAGGCAAACUCACAUCUUGUCGCAUCCCGUUCAGUCACUGAAGCAU